CUGUCGACAUUUACGAGGACGCCAAACAGCACCUAGAUAAUUGAAGAGGGCGAGCAGAAAGUGAGACUUUUGAUGAAACGCAAUCGAGAAGUGUUUCGUAAGACAGCAAGAGAUCUUCACCCAAAACACGUACCAAAUCACGAAGGACAGAUCUAUAAAAUAUCGUGUAAUGUAGUAAUUAAUUUUUUAAAAUCAAGCAGCGAGCGGAGUCCUAGUUUUUCCUGCAAUUUGAUUGGCUGUAGCCGCUGGCGGAAUUUCACAAUAUCUGACCGCGGUCCGGAAUCUUAUAGCUAAAUGCGUAAGAAAAGAGUUGCUUUAUUUGUUUUGCUUCGUUUUAAUACUUCGUUUUAAAAACAGCAAAUAUUUUGAUGAAUUA